rnacentral:rRNA from 1 species
UACGGGGGGAGCAAGCGUUGUUCGGAUUUACUGGGCGUAAAGGGCGCGUAGGUGGCCAUGCAAGUCGGAGGUGAAAUCCCUCGGCUCAACUGAGGAACUGCCUCCGAUACUGCAUGGCUUGAGUCCCGGAGAGGGUGGUGGAAUUCCCAGUGUAGCGGUGAAAUGCGUAGAUAUUGGGAGGAACACCGGUGGCGAAGGCGGCCACCUGGACGGGUACUGACGCUGAUGCGCGAAAGCGUGGGGAGCAAACAGG